rnacentral:tRNA from 1 species
GCAUUUGUGGUGUAGUGGUCAGCACGCUCGACGCAUAGCCGAGAGUUCCGUGGUUCGCUUCCCGACGAAAGCU